UGGGGAAUAUUGGACAAUGGGCGGAAGCCUGAUCCAGCCAUGCCGCGUGUGUGAAGAAGGCCUUUUGGUUGUAAAGCACUUUAAGCGAGGAGGAUGCUACUUGGAUUAAUACUCUAGGAUAGUGGACGUUACUCGCAGAAUAAGCACCGGCUAACUCUGUGCCAGCAGCCGCGGUAAUACAGAGGGUGCGAGCGUUAAUCGGAUUUACUGGGCGUAAAGCGUGCGUAGGCGGCUUCUUAAGUCGGAUGUGAAAUCCCUGAGCUUAACUUAGGAAUUGCAUUCGAUACUGGGAAGCUAGAGUAUGGGAGAGGAUGGUAGAAUUCCAGGUGUAGCGGUGAAAUGCGUAGAGAUCUGGAGGAAUACCGAUGGCGAAGGAAGCCAUCUGGCCUAAUACUGACGCUGAGGUACGAAAGCAUGGGGAGCAACCAGG
rnacentral:rRNA from 1 species